rnacentral:rRNA from 1 species
GAUCCUAGAGAUGCAACCUUGCAUUCAAAUACCAGCCUUUGCUGGAUUAAGAUGGGUGAAGGAGACAUGGCCUUAGAGUCAGCCGAAUUUUGCAGGGCGAUGCGGCCUGAUUGGCCAAAGGCCUGUUACAGGCAAGGGGCUGCCCAAAUGUUAUUGAAGAAUUAUGAAAAGGCAUGUGAUGCAUUUUCUGAUGGUCUAAAGUUGGACCCAAUGAAUGUUGAGAUUGAGAACGCAUUACGGUACCAUACUUAUCCCUAUCUCUUUCUUUGUAUGUGUUGGAAGUAUUGGUGUGGUUUCAAACCUCACUCUGGAUUCCAUUACUCCAUUCCAUGA